rnacentral:rRNA from 1 species
UUUCCGCCCCGUUCUAUACCCUUUUUUUUUCCAGGUUGGCCCUCGGGUUCAGGGAGGNGAUUCCCCNCUUGAAUUUAAGCUUUCAAUAAGGGGGGGGAAAAAGAAACCCUCCGGGGUUUCCCCUAGUAACCGGCGAGUGAAGCGGGUAAACAGCCUCAAAUUUGAAAUCUNCCCCNNNCCGGUCCGAAGUUGAAAUUUGUAGAGGAUUUUUUCGGGCAAGGCUCUGGUUUUAAUUUUUCUUGGAACAGACCGUCAUAGAGGGUGAGAGUCCCCGUCUGGAGCCAGGGGCCGCGUCCCAUGUGAAACUCCUUCGACGAGUCGAGUUGUUUGGGAAUCCAGCUCAAAAUGGGUGGUAAAUUUCAUCUAAAGCUAAAUAUUGGCCAGAGNCCGAUAGCGCACAAGUAGAGUGAUCGAAAGAUGAAAAGUACUUUGAAAAGAGAGUUAAACAGUAUGUGAAAUUGUUGAAAGGGAAGCGCUUGCAACCAGACUUGCGUGUGACGGUUCCCCCGGUCUUCUGACCGGGCUACUCCGUCAUGUCCAGGCCAGCAUCGGUUCGGGUGGUUGGUUAAAGGCCCCGGGAAUGUAUCUANCCCGGGUCGACUUAUAGCCCGGGGUGUAAUGCGGCCUACCUGGACCGAGGAACGCGCUUUUGCUCGGAUGCUGGCGUAAUGGUUGUAAGCGGCC